rnacentral:rRNA from 1 species
ACUCCUACGGGAGGCAGCAGUGGGGAAUAUUGCACAAUGGGGAAACCCUGAUGCAGCCAUGCCGCGUGUGUGAAGAAGGCCUUCGGUUGUAAGCACUUUCAGUAGGGAGGAAGGUAGUGUAGUUAACACCUGCAUUAUUUGACGUUACCUACAGAAGAAGCACCGGCUAACUCCGUGCCAGCAGCCGCGGUAAUACGGAGGGUGCGAGCGUUAAUCGGAAUUACUGGGCGUAAAGCGCAUGCAGGCGGCCUGUUAAGUCAGAUGUGAAAGCCCGGGGCUUAACCUCGGAAUUGCAUUUGAAACUGGCAGGCUAGAGUCUUGUAGAGGGGGUAGGAAUUUCAGGUGUAGCGGUGAAAUGCGUAGAGAUCUGAAGGAAUACCAGUGGCGAAGGCGGCCCCUCGGACAAAGACUGACGCUCAGAUGCGAAAGCGUGGGAGCAAACAGGAUUAGAUACCCUGGUAGACUGUCA